AAUAGAUACCCUGGUAGUCCACGCUGUAAACUAUGAGUACUAGAUGUUGGUAGGGGAACCUAUCGGUAUCGAAGCUAACGCGAUAAGUAUUCCGCCUGGGAAGUACGGCCGCAAGGUUGAAACUCAAAUGAAUUGACGGGGGGCCCGCACAAGCGGUGGAGCAUGUGGUUUUAAUUCGAUGCAACGCGAAGAACCUUACCUACCCUUGACAUCCUGUGAACCCGGAUUAGUGUCUGGGGUGCCGAAAGGAGCACAGAGACAGGUGCUGCAUGGCUGUCGUCAGCUCGUGUUGUGAGAUGUUGGGUUAAGUCCCGUAACGAGCGCAACCCUUGCCCUUAGUUGCCAUCAUUUUAGUUGGGGACUCGUAAGGGGACCGCCAGUGAUGAACUGGAGGAAGGGCGGGGACGACGUCAAGUCAUCAUGGCCUUUAUGGGUAGGGCCGCACACGUGCUACAAUGGGGCGUACAGAGGGUCGCGAACCCGCGGAGGGGGAGCUAAUCUCAUAAGCGUCUCGUAGUCCGGAUUGGAGUCUGCACUCGACUCCA
rnacentral:rRNA from 1 species